rnacentral:siRNA from 1 species
UGGCAACGAUGAUGGUAGUGG